CAGACUAUACUCUUAGGGAUUAUUUCUAGGUUUUUCUCAUCUGAGAGAAAUGGAUUUCUAGAGUGUUUGUUCUCACAAAUCAUGAGGAUGGUUUAUAGUGUUCAAUUCUGACAUUCAAGUUGACAUUGAAUGUUACUUUUUGCAACUGUUGUUCGCCAUUGAUAAGUGCUCUUUCUCUUGUAUGUGGAGAGUUGGAGGAAGACGAUGCAGAUG